UUUUUUGUUGGUUUAUUUUUAGGGCUGAGACUGCACAUUCAAAAUUAAAAAGGCAACUAUGUUCAUCCCAAGGAAACUUUGUAAGAUUAUGGACAAAACUUCAUUCUUUAGUAGAGUUGCAACAUACAGAAAUUAAGGCAUCAUUUGAGAAGAGUUUGACUACUGUGCAACAUAGUUUCACACCUUCAGUUUUUAAAGAAUUAAGGGGAUUAGUUGCUAGAAAUGCAUUAGAUAUGAUACUAAGUGAGUCAAAAAGAGCUGAUUUAAUUGGUAUAGAUAUUUCAGCAUGUGGUUGUGUAGUUCGACACACUCAUGGGAUACCGUGUGCACAUGAAAUUGCAGAGUAUAAGCGUGAAGGUCGACCAAUACCUUUAGAUUCUGUACAUUUGCAUUGGAGGAAAUUAGACCUUGUCUGCACCAGCUAUGAAAAAUCAGCAGAGUUGAGUUGUACCCCUGAAAUGGAAAUGAUUAUCAAGGGUUUUGAAGAUUCAGAUGGUUUCGGAAAAAUGCAAAUAAAAAGAAAACUGAAAGAAUUAGCUGAUCCAUCCUCAACUUUUUUAAUUGAGCCAACUGUUAAAGCUAAGACUCGAGGACGACCCUCCCAAAAGCUUGAUAAAUCUACCCGCCGAGAUCCAUCAAGAUUUGAGUAUGUAGUAUCCACACAGGAUAAUCAUUCUCCAGACAUUAUGUCUUCAAGUACAACUACAAAAAAACCAAAAGGGCAACGAAAAAUGAGUGUUUCUCAAACAAAAGCACCAAAGCAUGCUUCUUAUAUUGAUUCAUUUUCAUUUGGUUUGAGGCCUUAUAUUUGUGGUGUUAGAGAUGUUGCUGCAGAUGGUAAUUGUGGUUUUCGGGCAGUGGCUGGCCUAAUAGGUAUUGGUGAAGAUAACUGGGCACAAGUCAGGAAAGACUUAAUUGUUGAGUUGCAAAGUCACUUUAAUGAUUAUAAAAGAGUCUUUGAAUAUGCUGGUAGAGCAGAGGAGUUACUUCAUUCACUUUUAUACUUUGAGAAUAACCCAUGGAGAGAGUAUUGGAUGACCAUGCCUGAAAUUGGUCAUAUUAUUGCUUCUAAAUAUAAUGUGGUAUUACUACAUAUAUCAGAUGUGUUGAAUCUAACAUUCCUUCCACUUAGAUCUAUUCCAUUAUCACGCUCCUCGCAUAAAAUCAUUGCUAUUGGAUUUUUUAAUAGAAAUCAUUUCAUCGAGGUAUGUAAAAGUUUAGAAAUUCAAAUUAUGCUACAAUAUCUUAAUUAUUGGACUAAUUUUUCUAUGGCUUUUUUUUUUUUUACAGGUGUUCAUGCUUCCAGCUUCACCUAUUCCUCCUAUUGCGAAUAGUUGGAUCAAAUAUCAUGAACCAUGUGCAGAAGGCUGGGCAACACCAUACAAAACUAAUAUACUUGCUUUCAAGGAUUUGGUGUUUGAAGUUACCACACAAGAAACAAUUGAUCUAGCUAGUCAAUGACAGUAUCAAAAAAUUUUGAACCAUUUUAAUAGUCAUUUUAUUCGUUUCAUAUUUUUAAAGAAAGACUUUGUAAAAGCUGGAAUUCUUUAUUUUAUUGUUACUCAAGAUGACAACCUGUCUCUACUCUUUUUGUUGUUAUUAUUUUUUUUUUAACAUUUUCGAGUUUACUCCAACUGCAAACUAAUUUAUGAAUUAUGAUCUACAUACUAUAAAUUUAAGUAAUGCUACAAUUGACUGUAAAUAUUAAAAUAUCAACAGAAAAAUGAAAAAUAACUUAAAAGAGACAAAAUAAAUAGUACAUGAAAUUAAAAUUCAGCAUUUUAAAAAUUAAGAAAGUUACCUUUUUAUCUUAUUUUCUGGUGAGGAAUUAUCGACAUAUGCCACUCAUCAUCAACAAGAUUCAGGAAGAAAUCAAGACCCAUGAGAGAAAUUAAGAAAGAAGAAAGUAAUUAUGAAGCAAAGGACGAGCUGAACGAUCAUCAGAAUUAUUUUCCCAUCGACAUGUUUUCCAGUGCCCCAGUUGUCUUUCUCCACAAAGGUUCGCAGUCUUUCGAAGAAUUCGUGAUUCUGCAUUUUCAGAAGCUUGUGCUCAGC
rnacentral:lncRNA from 1 species